GAAAGGUAAAUGUAUGGAAAUACUUUGCUUGGAACUCACGACUUUGUAUUCGGGACCCACGCCUUUUUACCCACGACCCACGCCUUUUUACCCACGACGCACGCCUUUUUACCCACGGCCCACGCCUUUUUACCCACGACCCACGCCUUUUAACCCACGACCCACGCCUUUUAACCCACGACCCACGCCUUUUUACCCACGACCCACGCCUUUUUACCCACGACCCACGCCUUUUUACCCACGACCCACGACUUUUUACCCACGACAUUCUACCCACGACCCACGACUGUUAGCUAGUCCCCAUUUAGGACCAGCCCCCACCCCCACCCUGCUUCCUACGCCCCUAAUUAUUGUUGCCUG